GUCUGGGGAAAAAAGGAAAAAAGAGAUGAAUCACACUUAUUGAUCACCUUAGAUUAGUUCAGGCAGUUCAAUUUUUCAAAAUCACUAAGCAUAAACGAAAAAAGCAAGAUAAACCAUCACUCGUCAAAAACAUCGAAAAACAUCAAAAUCCAACAAGUAGAAGUUUACUGAAUACUCAUAGAACUUUUUAUCUUUUAUUUCACAAGCAAACAGGAGUCUGAAUGAUAUAAGCUACAACAACCCACCCAGAUCCCACAAAUGGGUCUGAGACUCUGAGGAGGGUAGUGUGUACACAAACAUUUGCCCUACUUUGUGAAUGAAAUAAGCCGAGCAAAGAAAUGCGCUAUUUUCCAUUCUUGUCACAUGACUAGUUUCAAAGGCAGUUUAUCCUCCAUCACUGGAACACAGAAGAGUUUUCAUAUAAGAGUUCACUUACUUAAGAAGAGGACUCAUGAAUUUAACUUGCCUGAUGAGAGUCUAGUUCAUAUAAGCCUGCCAUGCAAACUAGGGGAAGCAACCGCAGGGCCAUGCCGGCAUGCCCUUAAUCUGAUUCUAGGGGCACUAAACCUCGAUAAAUCAAUUCAACCAGGCUUGUACUGGUAUUUAAAUGGUGAAGAGGGAAUUCAUGACAAACACAGUCAAAAUGUCAUACAAAGGUGACAAAUAUUGCCAUUCAAAAUAGGCUCCCCUGGUCCAUAAGAAAAGCUAAUCCAGUGAGUUCAAAGGUCCUUGAAUAAUAUCAUUUUUCCACUUGAAUUGCAUUUUUCAGAUAUGAAUUAGAAUUACACUACUUUCUGGCAGCACAAGGCUAAGCUCUGUGCACGGGAUAAGUAUAUUUGCGCAGCUAAACCCGUGCGGCACUUAGACAACUUGCCAAAGGUUGCUAAGUAAGCCUUGAACUUCUCGAACUAGAGAAGAAAGCAAUGAAGCCAAAUGAAGAACUUGUAUUGCACUAAAGAGAGAUUUACAAUGCUUGAGUUGCUUGUAGUUGUUUUGUGAUGCUUGGAGGAUUGUUGGAUUGUUGUUGGAUGAUUUACAAAUGAGAAGUGCUAGCCUAUUUAUACUUGCUAGCCUUCCAAAUCAAUGGCUAGGAUGCAUUCUAAUGGAUGGCUAGGAUUAAUUCUCUAGAGAAUUCUACAACUAUCUAGCUAUAGAAUAUGCAAGACAAGUCUAGAGUUUUCCAUGUGUGGAGUGUUCUAGACUUGUGUAGAGAAUGCUAGAGAAAUCUAGAGAAAUGUAGAGAAAGUUGCCAUGCGUGCGCCAUGUCAAUGCUUGCGUGUCGCCCAGUCAUCGCUUGCAUGGCAUAACCUCUUACAAAUGUGGCCAUUUCGAUGCAUGACCACUUGCAAAUAUGGCCGGUCCGUCACAUCCUCCCCCACCUAAGCUCGCGGCGUCCUCGACGCGACCUCGUGCUUUUGAUUCUGGAGGUGCUUCCAUAGAGUCUCCCGUCUCUUCGUGAUGUGGCUUGAGACGACUCGCAUGGAAAAUGGGAUGGAUAUUGAGCUUUGGGGGAAGCUGGAGUUGAUACGAGACUUUACCCACACGUCGUACAACUUGGAAGGGUCCCUCGUAGUAUUUCACUAACCCCUCGUGGAUUUUCUGUAAUGCUUUGCGCUGUCGGGGUAGGAGCUUGAUCUUGACUUGAUCGCCUUCCUUGUACAAAACGUGUUGUCUCCUUGUAUCUGCUCGUUUCGCCGUUCUUCUUGCGGCCUUGUUAGGGACGGCUCGCGUGAUGUCUGCUUCCUUAUGUUUGAGUGGCGCCAUGCAAUAGGGCGCCAAGGCUGGUGGCUUCGUGCCUUGGUCUAGCUCGACUUGACGAGCUACCUUUCGCCGAGGUGGGAGCUUUUUCGGAAGCUUUGGCGGUGUGGCAUCCUUUUUCUUACUAAGGAUGGCUUGCGUUCGUGGAGGCGCUUGGCUUGGCAAUGUUCCCCUAUUUCCUUCCUUGUUUCGCUCCCGGUUGGGGACCAAGAAGCUUGGGUCCGUCCCGGAAACCUUCUUGAUUUGCAUGGCGGAGAGGGUAUGUUCCCCUGGUUUGCCUCUCUCUAAGGGCACCAUGCAGGCUUUGCUCCCGUCAAAUAUGCUUAGGGAGUUUGUCGCAGGUAUUGGGAAGGCAUGGGUUUGGUCGAAGAAGUCUAUGCCAAGGACCAUGUUGUAGUCGUCCAUGGGUACAAUGGAAAAAUCGACCUGUCCACUCCACGUUCCAAGGCUUAACUGUACGCCUUUUGCAGUCCCCCGCAAUUGGUUCCGCGGGUGAGUUUACCGCCUUGAUGUCGCCUCCUUCCUUGGUGAUCUUGAGGCCUAAUCGCUUAGCCUCGUCCACGGUUAUGAAAUUAUCAGUUGCUCCGUGUCUAUCAUUGCGCGGAUGGGCUGGCCAUUGAUCUUGCCGCUGACGAACAUGAGCCCUUUCUUGAUUGGUGUGGGCUGUUGGCGACUGAGCACGCCUAGUCGUUGGAUAGAACCCAUGCUGGUUUGGGAUUCUUCCGAGGAAGGUACAGGAUUGUCCUUCAGUUGUGCGGCAAGUGCGUUAAGCGACUUCUUCUCCGGACAGUCGCGUACCCAGUGUAGGCCAUUGCAGAUGAAGCAUGGGCUUGGUGGUGCCUUCUUCUUGCUCUCCGGUUUGCCUUGCCAAGUCCUGUUGCUUGGCGGCUUGUUCUGUCCCCAAUUCUUGCGGUGGUUGUCCUCGUCCUUGCGACUCUCUCCCCCACCUUUAUCGUGGUUGGCCUUUUCGCCUUUGGAUUGGGUAGUGUAUUCGGGAAACAAUUUCGCAAUGGCGAUGGCGUCAUCAAGUGUUUGAACACCACGCCUGUCAAGUUCUGUCUUGGCCCAAUCCUUGAGGCCAUCUUGAAAAUAAAAGAGAGAGUCCUUGUCGGACAUGUCGCUUAUCUCCAAUAUUAGGGUAGUAAACUCGUUGAUGUAGUCCCGUAUACUACCCGUCUGCUUGAGGCGACGUAAGCGCGCUCGUGCUUCCUUUUCCGCAUUACUUGGGGCGAAUUGCUUUCGGAGUUCUUGCUUGAAGUCGGCCCAAGUGUUGAUGGUGCAAAUCCCUUUGCCCAUAUCGCCAUGCUUGCGACGCCACCAUAGUUGUGCGGCGCCUCGGAGAUAAGUGGGUGCAGCGCCCACUUUCGAUGCCUCGUCUCGUACGCCAAUGGCAUCAAAGUAUUGAUCCAGCCCGAAUAGAAAGUUCUCUACGAUGGUGGCAUUCCGAGUACAAUCAUAGGUGUCGGGUUUUGCCACGUCAAUGCGUCGCGCAUCACUUGUGCUAGUUGAAGCUGGGCUUGAGGAGAGUGUGCGCUUGUGCCAUGCCCAAUCCGAGCGGACUUCCUCCACUUCCGCACGGACAGCCCGUAGUUCUUUUUGGACAAAACUACGAAGCUUUAGCAACUCAUCAUGAAAGGAACGAAAUUCUCCUCGGAGAAUGUUUGCUUGUUCGUGGAUGAGUGCCUUUGUUGCCACCGUGAAAUCGGCGUAUUCUCCCUCGAGACUUGGACGAAACUACGAAGCUUUAGCAACUCAUCAUGGAAGGAACGAAACUCUUCCCGGAGUUUGUUCGCUUGGUCGUGGAUGAGUGCCUUUGUUGCCACCGUGAACUCGCCAUAUUCUCCUUCGAGACCGUCCACUCGUUCCUCCAGUCCCUCGAGACUUUCUUGAGUGGCAGAGAAUACAUUUUCAAGAGUGUUUACACGAGGCUCCAACGCAUCCACCGACAGGGCCUUAGACUUGCUACGAGUCUUGCUUUGGCCACGUUCUCCGUCACGGCCGCGGUUUGGCUCCGGUGGAACAUCCACACCGAUAACACCCUCUUGUGCUAAGUUCGAAGUGUUUGCCAUUGCUUGUGGGCUAACUUGCGUGGUGUGCAAAACCUUAGCUCUGAUACCACCUGUCACGGGAUGAGUAUAUUUGCGCAGCUAAACCCGUGCGGCACUUAGACAACUUGCCAAAGGUUGCUAAGUAAGCCUUGAACUUCUCGAACUAGAGAAGAAAGCAAUGAAGCCAAAUGAAGAACUUGUAUUGCACUAAAGAGAGAUUUACAAUGCUUGAGUUGCUUGUAGUUGUUUUGUGAUGCUUGGAGGAUUGUUGGAUUGUUGUUGGAUGAUUUACAAAUGAGAAGUGCUAGCCUAUUUAUACUUGCUAGCCUUCCAAAUCAAUGGCU
rnacentral:lncRNA from 1 species